CCCUUAGAUGUUCUGGGCUGCACGCGCGCUACACUGAUGCGUUCAACGAGUGUAUCACCUUGCCCGAUAGGGUUGGGUAAUCUUUUGAACACGCAUCGUGAUGGGGAUAGAUUAUUGCAAUUAUUAAUCUUCAACGAGGAAUUCCUAGUAAUGAUGAAUCAUCAGUUCAUCGUGAUUACGUCCCUGCCCUUUGUACACACCGCCCGUCGCUCCUACCGAUUGGGUGUGCUGGUGAAAUGUUCGGAUCGGCCGUUUGUCGCGGUUUCCGCGUCAUGUGGCUGAGAAGUUCAUUAACCCCUCCCACCUAGAGGAAGGAGAAGUCGUAACA
rnacentral:rRNA from 1 species